rnacentral:rRNA from 1 species
CCUUCGGGGAACGAUAACGGCGUCGAGCGGCGGACGGGUGAGUAAUGCCUGGGAAAUUGCCCUGAUGUGGGGGAUAACCAUUGGAAACGAUGGCUAAUACCGCAUAAUAGCUUCGGCUCAAAGAGGGGGACCUUCGGGCCUCUCGCGUCAGGAUAUGCCCAGGUGGGAUUAGCUAGUUGGUGAGGUAAGGGCUCACCAAGGCGACGAUCCCUAGCUGGUCUGAGAGGAUGAUCAGCCACACUGGAACUGAGACACGGUCCAGACUCCUACGGGAGGCAGCAGUGGGGAAUAUUGCACAAUGGGCGCAAGCCUGAUGCAGCCAUGCCGCGUGUAUGAAGAAGGCCUUCGGGUUGUAAAGUACUUUCAGCAGUGAGGAAGGUUCAUACGUUAAUAGCGUAUGGAUUUGACGUUAGCUGCAGAAGAAGCACCGGCUAACUCCGUGCCAGCAGCCGCGGUAAUACGGAGGGUGCGAGCGUUAAUCGGAAUUACUGGGCGUAAAGCGCAUGCAGGUGGUUUGUUAAGUCAGAUGUGAAAGCCCGGGGCUCAACCUCGGAAUUGCAUUUGAAACUGGCAGACUAGAGUACUGUAGAGGGGGGUAGA